AUGUGUCUGUCUAUCCCUGUUCUCUCCUCUCUGCACAGGCCAUACAAACGCUUCACACCGCGUGGCCGCUGCCACUCUAACCUGGUGGUCCCAGCGCGCACGACCCACGUGGAGUUCCAGGUCUCCGGCAGCCUCUGGAACUGCCGGUCUGCAGCCAACAAGGCUGAGUUCAUCUCAGCCUAUGCUACCCUCCAGUCCCUAGACUUCCUGGCGCUGACGGAAACAUGGAUUACCACAGAUAACACUGCUACUCCUACUGCUCUCUCUUUGUCUGCCCACGUGUUCUCGCAUACCCCUAGAACAUCGAGCCAGCGGGGUGGUGGCACUGGAAUCCUCAUCUCUCCCAAGUGGACAUUCUCUCUUUCUCCCCUGACCCAUCUGUCUAUCUCCUCAUUUGAAUUCCAUGCUGUCACAGUUACCAGCCCUUUCAAGCUUAACAUCCUUAUCAUUUAUCGCCCUCCAGGUUCCCUUGGAGAGUUCAUCAAUGAGCUUGACGCCUUGAUAAGUUCCUUUCCUGAGGAUGGCUCACCUCUCACAGUUCUGGGUGACUUUAACCUCCCCACGUCUACCUUUGACUCAUUCCUCUCUGCCUCCUUCUUUCCACUCCUCUCCUCUUUUGACCUCACCCUCUCACCUUCCCCCCCUACUCACAAGGCAGGCAAUACGCUUGACCUCAUCUUUACUAGAUGCUGUUCUUCCACUAAUCUCAUUGCAACUCCCCUCCAAAUCUCCGACCACUACCUUGUAUCCUUUUCCCUCUUGCUCUCAUCCAACACUUCUCACUCUGCCCCUACUCGGAUGGUAUUGCGCCGUCCCAACCUUCGCUCUCUCUCUCCCGCUACUCUCUCCUCUUCCAUCCUAUCAUCUCUUCCCUCUGCUCAAACCUUCUCCAACCUAUCUCCUGAUUCUGCCUCCUCAACCCUCCUCUCCUUUCUGCAUCCUUUGAUUUUCUCUGUCCCCUAUCCUCCAGGCCGGCUCGGUCCUCCCCUCCUGCUCCGUGGCUCGACGACUCACUACGAGCUCACAGAACAAGGCUCCGGGCAGCCGAGCGGAAAUGGAGGAAAACUCGCCUCCCUGCGGACCUGGCAUCCUUUCACUCACUCCUCUCUACAUUCUCCGCUUCUGUCUCUGCUGCUAAAGCCACUUUCUACCACUCUAAAUUCCAAGCAUCUGCCUCUAACCCUAGGAAGCUCUUUGCUACCUUCUCCUCCCUCCUGA
rnacentral:lncRNA from 8 species